rnacentral:tRNA from 1 species
GCCCAGGUGGCGGAAUUGGCAGACGCGCUAGCUUGAGGGGCUAGUGUCCGUAAAGGACGUGCUGGUUCGAAUCCAGUCCUGGGCA